CUGCACGUCUAGAGACACUAAUUAGUGCUGUCAUAAACACUCCCACAUGCCUGGGUGUUCACUUCACAUCACACAGGGCGAGUGGGCGGCGCUCCUCCCUCUGAGUCUCGGGUCUCAGACAGAAGGUUUGGCAGACUGUUACCAGUGACCUUUAUCAAAUCAUACAGUAAUGAGUUUGUCAGCUUAUGGUACUGGAACUUUGCUUCAGCGUUGUAGGUAAACUUUGUUGUGCUUUUAAUUGUUCUCAUUCAAUCAAAGAGAUAGUUCACCCCAAAAUGAAACUUCUGUCAUUUACUCACUAUGAUGUCUUUCCAAACCUCAACAAAUGACCAGAUCUCAUCACCAGAAGGCCAUUUGCUCUGACCACAGCCUCUAAACUAAAAAAAUUUAAAGGCUUCACUUGGUUUACAUGCUGUCUUGUUUUCCUCGCAAUGUCCAGGACCAGCUCUUUACAGAUUUGCGUGGUAAACUCACUCAGUUGAGAACCACUGUUAUAAAUGGAGUAAUGUGCUGAAAGAAGCAUUAAAGAUGCAUGAGAGGCCUACAAAUCCACUCUAAGAAUUUUCUUUUUCCUCGAGGACUGAAAUCUUUGAGUUUGUGAGCUGUAAAAGCUGCUUGAGGUUUAUCUCGUGCAACAGAGGAAGUGGUGCGGGAAGAAGAGCGCGUCGGCCCUAACGUUUUGUGUGUACAACAGGAUAUCCGAUGCUGGGAGCGUUAGCCUCGUGUCGAGAGCACAUCUGCUGUCUCGCCUUAUCGCUCCACGUUUUGGAGUGCAGACGUCUCAUUUCAGCUCGUCGCAAGUAGUAAUACGGCUCAAAGAAGUCAAACGUUGCCUAUCUGGAACUCGUCCCUUAUCAUACUUGUAGAUGUUCUGUGUACUUUUAAGUGCUGGAUUUACUCAUAGGCGAAAACAUUAAUUGCCAGUUGACUGACAGCUGGAAAACACAGGGAUUUCAUGCUGGGGCAACGGUAAUUGUUUUCAGAUUUGUUUUAGAGUGUCUUUUUGAUCAAAUUUGUGAGAGAGCGAGUGAGAGAGAAGGAAAGAAGGAGAGGGAGCCAGACACUACUCAUGGGGCCCAUUAGGAAAUUGCCAGUAAGCAAAGUUGCAAAUAAGCUGUCACACAGUACAAAUGAGAUUACCUUUCCAAUGUGCCCUGGAACCUGCACACCGGGGGAUGCAGAACCAGUCACGGCAAAACAAGGCACAAUCGUCUGAUUUAUCUCAGCGCUUGAUCUUCUGGUGGUGUUCUUUCUACCUCUGUUUUUCAUGCAUCGUGUGCAAAACAGUUUACAAAGCGCUUGCAGCACAAGUUAAUCAGUUGUAGACAACCUCUGAAGCGAGUCGACAGUGUUUCAAGUCAGGGAUUUUACUUAUAGUCAUCAGCGCUGAAUUUAUACACAUACAGAGAGACUUAGUUGCAUAUUUCGGUUUAAACCGUUUAUUUACUGCUCCUGCUUUUCACCUCUUGAUCAGUUUGUUGAUGAAUUGAUUUAUUUUCAUCUGUUGAGGAGAUCUGCAAAUGUCUCUUGCACUGUGUCAAAGGGUUUGAUUUUAUUUAUUUAUUUAAAUGAACAGAUUUAAUCUGCUUUUUUUGGAAAGGUCAAAAUAAAACCUUUUUACUGUAUCUUUGUUGUUUACUUUUUUGCUAUUUUUAAAUGCCUUUUAUCUGUAUAGAUUUUAUUGUAUUUCUCUUGUCCCAGAACUAAACCUUAAAAUAUGAAAAUCCAUAUUAAAAAUGUAAAUGCUGAUGAACUAUGAUAAUCUAAAACGUAAAUGAUUGUAUAUACAUUUUUUGCACUUUGUUUACACAUUUUCUGCACGCAAAUGUAAAAAAAGAGCAAAAAAUUUAUAUACAGUAAAUCAUUUGUUUAAAUAUUAGUUUAUUGUAGUUGUAUAUGAUGUAAAUGUGUAUAUACUCUCUUUCUCUGAUAUAUUUUGUUAUACAUUUAAAAAUUUU
ensembl:lncRNA